GAUGAAGAACGCAGUGAAAUGCGAUAAGUAAUGUGAAUUGCAGAAUUCAGUGAAUCAUCGAAUCUUUGAACGCACAUUGCGCCCGGUAGUAUUCUGCCGGGCAUGCCUGUUCGGGCGUCAUUUCAACCAUCAAGCCCCAGCGCUUGUGUUGGGGGCCUGCGGCUGCCGCAGCCCCCUAAAAGCAGUGGCGGGCUCGCUAUCACACCGAGUGCAGUAGUUCAUCUUCUCUCCGGUCUUGUGAGGCGGGUUCCGGCCGUGAAACACCCCACUACAUUCAAGGUUGACCUCGGAUCAGGUAGGAAUACCCGCUGAACUUAAGCAUAUCAAUAAGCGGAGGA
rnacentral:misc_RNA from 1 species